rnacentral:rRNA from 1 species
GCCCUUCCAGUUUGAUCCUGGCUCAGGAUGAACGCUGGCGGUUGCUUUACACAUGCCAGUCUCACGAGAGUUUUUAACUCCCGUGGCGGACGGGCGAGUAACACGUAACAAUUUGCCUUUAGGAGGGGGAUAACAACUGGAAACGGUUGCUAAUACCCCCUAUGCUUUCGAGUAAAAUGGAUUUUCCGCCUAAAGAGAAGCUUGCGGCUGAUUAGCUUGUUGGUGAGGUAAUGGCUCACCAAGGCGACGAUCAGUAUCUGGUUUGAGAGGACGAUCAGACACACUGGAUCUGUGACACGGUCCAGACUCCUCCGGGAGGCAGCAGUGGGGAAUUUUCCGCAAUGGGCGAAAGCCUGACGGAGCAAUACCGCGUGAGGGAUGUCGGCGUAUGGGUUGUAAACCUCUUUUUUCAUGGAGGAAUCAAUGACGUGUACCUGAAUAAUAAGCCUCGGCUUACUCCGUGCCAUCGGCCCCGGUAAGACGGAUGAUGCAAGUGUUAUCCGGAAUCUCUGGGGGUUAAGCGUCUGUAGGUGGUCGAAUAAGUCAACUGUUAAAUCUUGAUGCUCAACCUCAAAAUGGCAGUCGAAACUAUUCGACCAGAGUAUAGUAGGGGUAAAGGGAAUUUCCAGUGGAGCGGUGAAAUGCGUAGAGAUUGGAAAGAACACCGAUGGCGAAGGCACUUUUCUGGGCUAUUCCUAACAAUGAGAGACGAAAGCUAGGCCAGCAAAUGGGAUUAGAUUCCCCCGUAGUCCUAGCCGUAAACAAUGGAUACUAGAUGUGAACAGAUCGACCUGUGCAGUAUCAAAGCUAACGCGUUAAGUAUCCCGCCUGGGAAGUAUGCUCCCAAGAGUGAAACUCAAAUGAAUCGACGGGGAAGGGC